UCCCUACGGGGCGCAGCAGUCGGGAAUAUUGCGCAAUGGCGGAAACUCUGACGCAGUGACGCCGCGUGCAGGAAGAAGGUUUUCGGAUUGUAAACUGCUUUAGACAGGGAAGAUAAUGACAGUACCUGUAGAAUAAGCUCCGGCUAACUACGUGCCAGCAGCCGCGGUAAUACGUAGCGAGCAAGCGUUAUCCGGAUUUAUUGGGGGUAAAGGGUGCGUAGACGGGAAGGCAAGUUGGUUGUGAAAUCCCUCGGCUUAACUGAGGAACUGCAACCAAACCGAUCUUU
rnacentral:rRNA from 1 species